rnacentral:tRNA from 1 species
UCGCCUUCGUGGCGACGGCGGUGGCCUGCGCCUCGUUCCCGGCGGUGUCGUAGACGCGCAGGUCGAUGCGGGCACCGUUCAGCUCCGCGAUGGCGAG